AUGGGUUUCGGGCUAAUUUGGGUUUUCCUUGUUGCUCUUUUAGAAGGUGUCCAGUGUGAGGUGCAGCUUGUGGAGUCUGGGGGUCACCUGGUGCAGCCUGGGGGGUCCCUGAGACUCUCCUGUUCAGCCUCUGGAUUUACUUUUAGUAAUAACUGGAUGGAAUGGGUCCGCCAAGCUCCAGGAAAAGGGCUGGAGUGGGUUGGAGAAAUUAAUAAAGAUAGCAGUACCAUCAACUAUGCACCAUCCGUGAAGGACCGAUUCACCAUCUCCAGAGACAACGCCAAGAACACUCUGUACCUGCAAAUGAGCAGUGUGAGAUCUGAGGACACCGCCACUUAUUACUGUGCUACAGGCACAAUGAAUGGACUUUAG